UGUCAAGGGAUGGGAAUCGAACACACGACCUUCCUCUUACCGGGCAGAUGCCAUGACCACUAGGCUACCCUGGAC
rnacentral:tRNA from 1 species